rnacentral:lncRNA from 1 species
GGUGGACAUAAAUAGCCUAUUAACUUCAUGAUUAUGGCUCGAUAAUUUAAUACCAUAAGAUACGAGACUACGUGCUCGACGGUUAUAUUUGAAUCACCUAUAAAAGGGAGGUAAAUGAAUAGCAUUGGUAAGAUAAUUUUGGGCUAAGACUCUGCUAUUUUAAAUAUUCUUCAUCUGUUGUUCACCACUCCCCACUGACUUAAGCAUCGAAGGAUUUUCAUUGGAUACAAUUUCGGUCAGUGUGGACUUCAUUUUGCAG